CCAUGAAGUCGGAAUGGCAUGUAAUCGUGGAUCAGAAUGCCACGGCGAAUACGUUACCGGGCCUUGUACACACCGCCCGUCACAUCAUGGGAGGGGGCUGCACCAGCAGUAGGUAUUUUUACCUUCGGGGGGACGCUUACCCCUUUGUGGUUCAUGGCUGGGGUGAAGUCGUAACAAGGUAGCGCUAGGGGAACCGGGCGCUGGAUCACCUCCUGAAACGAUGAU
rnacentral:rRNA from 1 species